AACGAACGCUGGCGGCAGGCCUAACACAUGCAAGUCGAACGCCGUAGCAAUACGGAAUGGCAGACGGGUGAGUAACGCGUGGGAACAUACCCCUCGGUUCGGAAUAACUCAGGGAAACGUUGAGCUAAUACCGGAUACGUCCGAGGUUUUAAUUCGGCCUUGGAGAAAGAUUUAUCGCCGAAGGAUUGGCCCGCGUCUGAUUAGCUUGUUGGUGAGGUAAUGGCUCACCAAGGCGACGAUCAGAGCUGGUCUGAGAGGAUGAUCAGCCACAUUGGGACUGAGACACGGCCCAAACUCCUACGGGAGGCAGCA
rnacentral:rRNA from 1 species